rnacentral:rRNA from 1 species
GGAGGGCCGUAUUUAUUAGAUAACAGACCAAUAUUCCUCGUGUCUAUUGUGGUGAAUCAUAGUAACUUAAUCGGAUCGUAUGGGCUUUGCCCUCGACAAACCAUUCAAGUUUCUGCCCCAUCAGCUUUCGAUGGUAGUGUAUUGGACUACCAUGGCUUUCACGGGUAACGGAGGAUUAGGGUUCGAUUCCGGAGAGGGAGCCUGAGAAACGGCUACCACAUCUAAGGAAGGCAGCAGGCGCGUAAAUUACCCAAUUCUGACUCAGAGAGGUAGUG